rnacentral:ncRNA from 12 species
AGGGAUAGAGGUUGAGAAUCUGUCACCAACGCGCCACUUAUAGUGGGUCGAGAAAUGCAGGAGCCCCGAAAGUCCUGCCUAUCCUU